UGGCCUAAUUGCAUUAAUGUCAAAAGUAUCAGCGUACACAUACAUCAUGUGCAUGUAUGCAGCAAACAUUAAGUAGAUAAGUGACAGAUCUUAAACUGUUUCAAUCAGUUAUAUAUUAAACUUCACAUUUAAUUCUGAAAUCUGCAUGUCAAGGGCGUAGGGACAUCAUGUUAGAUAAUGCAACAUAAAUGCAAGUUAAAUACAUGUACAUAAUUAUCAUAUCUUAAACACAUUGAAAUAUCAAUCAUACAACAUUCUGAACAUUAAUAUUGUAAAGUUUAAAUCGGACAUGACCAAAGGAUAAGAACCAAUACACUGCGUGUCUCAAAGUAAUAGACCACUUUCGAGUUCAUCCGUCACCGGAAAAAACUCGUCAAUUAUACACGCCUUUGUGAG
rnacentral:lncRNA from 1 species